rnacentral:rRNA from 1 species
UACGUAGGGUGCAAGCGUUAAUCGGAAUUACUGGGCGUAAAGCGUGCGCAGGCGGUUUUGUAAGUCUGACGUGAAAGCCCCGGGCUCAACCUGGGAAUUGCGUUGGAGACUGCAAGGCAUGAAUCUGGCAGAGGGGGGUAGAAUUCCACGUGUAGCAGUGAAAUGCGUAGAGAUGUGGAGGAACACCGAUGGCGAAGGCAGCCCCCUGGGUCAAGAUUGACGCUCAUGCACGAAAGCGUGGGGAGCAAACAGG